GGCCUUGUGGUGAAAUCAUGUCGGAUUGCAAAUCCGGAGAAGCGGAUAACUCCGCCGAGGCUU
rnacentral:tRNA from 1 species